rnacentral:rRNA from 1 species
AUGCUUGGUGUUGAACGACUUGACAUGAUCAAAGGAAUUCCACAAAAGAUUUUGGCCUUUGAAAAGUUUCUUGAGGAAAACCCUGAAUGGAUUGAUAAAGUGGUUCUACUUCAAAUUGGUGUGCCAACUAGAACUGAUGUCGGAGCGGAUCAGAAGCUUACAAGCCAAGUGCACGAAAUCGUUGGGUGCAUAAAUAGACGAUUUGGAACAUUGUUCGUUGUUCCUAUUCAUCAUUUUGAUCGAUCUCUUGAUUUCCAUGCCUUAUGCGCUCUUUAUCCAGUCACUAAUGUGGCUCUUGUAACAUCACUGAGGGAUGGCAUGAAUCUUGUAAGCUAUGAAUAUGUUGCAUGCUAGGGAUCAAAAAAAGGAGUUUUGAUAUUUGAGUGA